GAUUUCAACUGAAAAAGUCAUCAAUAAGAAAGUUGUAUAACUCAUCAAGAUCUAUAACUUCUAUUUUAGUCAUUUCUUCAUCCGAUAAAGUGAUUUGUAAGAUUGUUCACAAAAUAUACAUCUCUUAUAUAGAUAUAAGAGAUGUAUCUCUUAUAUAGAUAUAAGAGAUGUACAUUUUGUGAACAACCUUACAAAUCACUUCAUCAAAACUAUAUAAGAUAUGUACAUUUUAUGAACAAUCUUACAAAUCACUUCAUCGGAUGGAGAAAUGACUAAAAUAGAAGUUAUAGAUCUUGAUGUGUUAUACAACUUUCUUAUUGAUGACUUUUUCAGAUAAAUU
rnacentral:pre_miRNA from 1 species